CUGUUUUCAUUCCUUGGUUGUUAACCUAUUACAGCGAGCCAUGUCAGUCAUAAAGGCAUUUCAAGAAGUCAAUUCCCUGCAGCUCCUCAGAGCUCCACUAUUUACUUUAGUUUCUGGAUGCAGUCAAUGGUCUGCAGGAAGCAUUGGUCCAGAACGAGGGAAUACCUCUGAGGAGAAGGAUGGAGAAAGGAGUCAUUCAAACCUGGAAUGACAAAUAGCUGCUGCUCCAGGAUCACCAUCCUCCGGCGUUCCUCCUGGUAUUCCUGUUUGGCCUCCAAAAACCUCUGGUACAUCUCUUUUUCUCUGGAAGAUUCAAGCAAGA